rnacentral:lncRNA from 1 species
UCUUUUUUUUUUUUUUUUUUUUGGGGUGCUAGAAAACUACUGGCUCCGUUUGGAUUAGCUGUUUUUGGGGUUAUUUUUCAAAAACACUACUGUAGCAUUUCGAAUCUGAAAAACAAGUCCGUUUGGAUUAGUUGUUUUUUGGGUUAUUUUUCAAAAACUAUAUGAAAAACUUUUAUUGUAAAUUUUUUUGGAUUAUUUUUAGAGGUAUUUUUGAGACAUAUUUUUGAAUAUUUUUAGAAUAUUAUAAUUUUUAUAUUUUUAUAUAAAUAUACAUUUAUGCAUUUAUAAUACAUUUAUAUUUACAAAUCUAUAAAUGUAUAUUAUUAUAAAUGUAUAAAUUAUAAUUGAAUAUUAUAUAAAAGUAUAAAUUAUAAAUUAUAAUUUUUAUAUAAAUAUACAUUUAUUUAUAAUACAUUUAUAGAUAUUUAUAAAUAAAUAUAUUUAUAUAUUCAUAUGAAAAUAUAUAAAUGUAUUAUAUUAUAUAUAAUACAUAAUAUAAAUAUAUUUAUAAAUGUAUAAGUGUAUAUUAUUAUAAAUGUAUAAAUUAUAAAUGAAUAUUAUAAAUGUAUAAAAUUAAUAUAUUAUAAAUAUAUAUUAAUAUUAUGUAGAAAUGUAUUUAUAUAAUUAAUAUAAAUGUAUAUAUGUAUUAAUAUUACGUAUAAAUGUAAAAUUAAUAUUAUGAUAUUAAUAUAAAUGUAUAAAUGUAUUAUAUUAUAUAUAAUACAUAAUAUAAAUGUAUAUUUAAAUGUAUAAGUGUAUAUUAUUAAAAAUGUAUAAAUUAUAAAUGAAUAUUAUAUAAAUGUAUAAAUUAAUAUAUUAUAAAUAUGUAUUAAUAUAAUGUUGAAAUGUAUUAAUAUAAUUAAUAUAAAUGUAUACAUGUAUUAAUAUUAUGUAUAAAUUUAAAAUUAAUAUUAUGUAUAUUAAUAUAAAUGUAUUAUAUUAUAUAUAAUACAUAAUAUAAAUGUAUAUUAUAAAUAUACAUAAAUAUUUAUAUAUUAUGUAUAAAUGUACAUUUAUAUAAAUGUAUAAUAUAUUAUAUAUUAUAUUAUAUAUAAUUUAUAUAACAUAUAAUAUUUAUGUAAAUAUAUUAUAAAUAUAUAAAAAUAUAUUUUAAAUAAAAUAAAAUAUUAUAAUAUGUAUGUAUAAAUAUAUAAUAUUAGAAAUUUAUAUAAUAUAUAUAAUAUACAUUAAUAUUAAUAUAAUUUAUAUAUAAUAUACAUAUUAAUAUAUAUUAUAAAACAAAAUUGUAUAAAUAUAUUUAUAAAUUUAUAUAUAAAUAAAUAUUUUUAUAUAAAUAAAUAUUAUAUAUAUUAUAUCAAUUGAAAUAAAUAUAUUUAUAUUAAUAUAAUAUACAUAAUAUACAUAAUUGAAAUAUACAUAUUAAAAUACGUAAUUGAAAUAUAUGUAUUAAAAUAUAUUAAAAUAUAAUUGAAAUAUACAUAUUAAAAUACAUAAUUAAAAUAUACAAAUUGAAAUAUACUUAUUAAAAUAUACAAAUUAAAUAUGCAUAAUUGAAAUAUAUUUGGUGUUGUUUUUGAUAUAUUGUUUGGAUAUGGUGUUUUUUAAGUUGUUUUUGAAAUACACAUUUACUGUAGCAUUUGGAAUGUGAAAAACAGUUUUUCAAAAACAGGCACAAAAACACUCAAUCCAAACGGAGCCACUGAUUUUAGUCACAAGCAGUAUCAAGAUUCAAGACUUAAAUAGACACCCGAAGAGUAUAAUUAAGUUGAUCAAAUUUCUAACAUCGCAGACGUGAAAUAUUAGCCUGAUACUUUUUAUAUUAGCUCUUUUUUUUUGUAUGAAAAUUUCUGUUUGGAUUGCUGAGUUUUUGAAAACUAGUUUAUCAAAUACUUUAUAAAAAGUGCUCUAAAAGAUACUUUAAAAAAUAGUUAAAAUUUUUUUAGUAUUUAAAAAAUAUUUCAAAAUAUAUUUUAAAAACUCUACUACUCUUAAAUAUAUCAAAAUAUUUCAAAAUAUAUUUUAAAAACUCUGCUGCAGUAAAAUUUUUCAAAAAUAUCUCCAAAAACAGCUAAUCCAAACGUAUGUUUUUCAGAAUUUUCUAGAAAAUAUAUAUUUUCCAACAAUUUGACAUCUAAAAAAUCUAACGAACCUAAUAUUGCAAUCCACACGGCCUCAUCUAUUGCACGAUUAGGUUACCAUCUCACUAGCGUGAUUAGUGGCUGUAUGACUUCAUAGUACUACAAGUUUUACUAUGAUGUAUGUAUACUAUAUAUUAGAUACGGUUAUAAAUGUAGGUAUAAUUUUAUGCGUACGGGGUAGAUGUGAAUGAGGAGUGAUGAGAAGGAAGAUUGAGGGGGAAAAAAGGAUAGAUUGAAUGGCAGAGGAGAGAGUGUAAAUAACAAAUUUGCACAAAAAAAAAGAGUUAAAAAAAAGGAGUAAUGGUGGAAAUACAAAUUCGAGCAAAAAUAGCGGGAGAUGAAGGGAAGAAGAAGGAAGAUCCCCUCGUAACCUAGUGUGUGUGUGUGUGUGUGCGUGCGUGUGAUGACUGAGGAAAAAAGUGAUGACUGAGGAAAAGAGGAAUCACUCACAAGUGCGUGUAAAUGUGUGUGUAUGAUGACUUGUAGCUUUGUCUUGAAAUUUGAAACUGUGUAACAAUAUUGGGAGUGUUUGGAUACCAAAAUUAUUUCAAGUAAUAUUUUACUUGCAUCACAAACACAUUUUCCAACCUAUCUUUUUAUAUUUCCAAUCAUCUUUUUAUCUCACAUACAUUGUAUCAUAAAAAGUGCUACAGUAAUUAUUUCAAAUAAUAUUUCAAAUAAUACAUUAUCCAAACAAACCAUUAUGGGAAGAAAAAAGGGCAUUAAAUUAUGGGCAGAUUGGAGAGCGGGGCACAUAUACGAUGAUUGAGUCAUAUGCCAGCGAGGAGUACAGAUGGGAUCCAAUGAUUGAUAUAUAUAUAUAUAUAUAUAUAUAUAUAUAUAUAUAUAUAUAUAUAUAUAUUGUGUGUUUGUGUAUCAAGAGCACCGCUCCAAAACAAAAUUUGUUAGUUUCUCUGUGUGUUUUUGUGUGUGGAGUAUUAUUUUCUGAUGAACAAGAAAAAGAUUUGAUUAGGUUAAACAUGUCAGAUUUGCCCGGUGAUGGUCAUCAAUAUUCUGGAGUUGUACUGCAAACAUUACGACUUUAAGAUAAGAUAUUUUUUUUCCCUUGCUUACCAAUUGAAUCGAAGCUUCAAAAGUCAAUUUCUGCUUCCCAAAUCCAGUGUAGUGUAAUUCCAAUCCACGCACCGAACAAGAAGAGGAAAAGAUUUAUGCUAUGUAUUUAUUACUGGGAUUUUUCUAAGGAGUACUCCCAAGUCAUUCGUUACCACACCUAACAUAUACCUAAUGUAUCGUGUAUGUAUGUAUAUAUAUUAAUAAUUAUUAUUUUUUUAUAUUUAUAUUUUUUCUAUUUAAUUGCACCUACCCUCUAUUAUAUUUAUUUAAUUUCUCUAAUUAAUUUUAUAUUUUAAAAAAAUAUGACAAUCGUAUUAAGUAUACCUUAACGAGUGAUCUAUGAGCACCCGUUAAAAGAAAGACGUCUGCUGCUAUCAUUUUCAUUUUUUCUUAGAUUGUAUGUACAGAUCGACUGUACAGAUUGUUUGGUUCAUGUGAUAUUGGGGCUUUUCUUCCAAAUCGGGAAGCUUGGUCAAUAAUUGUGCUUCACAUCGUGACAAUUAAUGGUGGUGUAAGAUACGGACAUGGAAUGGUUAAUGUAUUCAACUGGUAACUAUCAAGGCUAACGUUAUAAUGACUGUUGAAUGGUAAGUAGUUUUUAACAAUCCGAUGCAUGAUUAAUACUGUAUUAUGAUAUCGAAUCUUCCUCGUUAGUUUAUUUAGGAGCUGCGAUCAUGUUAACUACUUUCUUUGUCUCACUUUGAUAGUUAUGUUUCUUUUUUCACACAGUUCAAGAAAAAGUAGUUAACUUUAUUAGAAAAGUAAAUUUAGAUUGCUAUUUUCCUAAAAUAUCCUCACAUUAAAUAUGGUACAACUUUAUGGGAACUUAAAUUGAUGAUAAAAAAAGAAAAAUCAACUCUCAUUAAAUGAGGUAGGUUUAUAGUAACAACUACUUACAUUGAAAGAAGGUAUUUUAAAAAAAUUAAAAUACAGCUACAUUCUUCAAUUGGAAAGUGAACUACAAUUUGGGACAGAUGAAAAAGGAAUACAAGACUAUCAAAGUGAGACGGAGGGAGUAUAUCGUAAAUACCAUUAACGAAAUGUUCAAGUCCAAAUUAACAAUAAUGGCUUACACCCUAUUUUCUUUUUCCUUUUUUUUUCUUUUUAUAAAAAAAAAAGAAAAAAAAAACAAACUUAUUCUCCUCGUCCCUUGUUAGAAAAGGGAAAAAGGGGUCUACUAGUACUAGGGUGCAGCUGCAGCCCUCAGUUUGCAGUUGGCUGGGCUCCUGGAAUUCACUUUAAUCAUGUUUGUGACAGGAAAGGGUCCAAGAACAUUGGAUGCCUUUCAUUUUUGUGCGACGAAAAAGAUCAUAAAAUGCAAAAGUUUCAGUCAUAAUAAAAGUAGUCGUAAAAAAAAAAAGAAAAAGAAAGAAGAAGAAGCACUAUUACAAAAGAAAAUCUAAACCAAAAGAGAAGUAGCAAAAAAAGCAUCUACUUGGAAAAUAAAGAAAUUGGAAUGGACAACAGGAGGAAGUACAAGCAUUACACGGGCAGGUUUUUAACCAUAGCAUUAUGUUGCGUAGAACAAUAUGAAAUCUUGGAGUCAAAGGAUUCAAGAAAAAGCACAAAUUGUAAGAUUUCUUCACAUCCACAUGAAAACCCAUGUGUGCUUACGUGCCUUUUUUGAAAUACUGAACCAAGCAGAGGAGUCGUGCUUGAGAGUUGAAGCCAUUUCCUCAAAAAAAAGGAAGAAGAAGUUGAAACUUUGCAUGUAUGCCCUUAAUCUAUGCAUGUGAUUACUGAUUUUGCGCCAGAGUCAAAAUGCUUGGCGUCCUUUUGAAUAAUGACGGUCAGCUGCAACAACAGUUCUUCUCUCUUUUCUCCUCUUUUUUUUUCACUUCUGUUUUUCCUUUUGGUGUUUUAGCUUUGUAUUUCCUUGAGGGAAUAGCGGGAAUUGGAGACCAACUAACAUAACAUGGUUGGUUCCCACCUCAUGCCCCCAAAAUAGCAAUUAAUAAAUGUACCAAUUGCCUGCACGACCUCUGUUACCAGCUUUGCUGAGCAGCAUUGUAAAGUACCCGGGGGGAAAAAAAAUUUAAAAAGAAGUAGUAGCAUUUAAAAGAUUAGAGAGGGUCAAAUUUCUAAGAUGAUACUCCAUAGAUUGUAUGGUGGUAUUUAGCUACAUGUUUGCUUCGAUAAAAUCGUCUCAUUUUAAGAUAGAAAUAUAUCAUGACGGAGAGUGAACCAUCAUCGAUCAUCGAUCGGAUAAAAUGGAUGCACUAUGCAUGCAUAUGGAUGUAAGAAAAUCACAUAGUGGCAAAGUAACGGGAGAUAAAGUUUGAAUCCUUAAUCUUUCACCCUAUCAAGAUUUUAAGUCAGGGGAAAUGGCUGACUGAAAAGACUUAUUAACUGAACAAUACUAAUACUCCCUGAAAUAAAUACCGUGUACUGACCUAAGAUCAAGUUUUGAGACCCCAAUAUUUUCCAUGAUUUAAGGGCAGGGUGCAGGGAUCGGGUCACAAUCAAAUAUGGAGCAAGGGGGAGCACAUGCGAGGAAGAGAAGAGACAAGGCAGAGUUUUGUCUCGAAGAAAAUUAGGACAUCAUAAUUGAUUGAGAUUUUUGUCCUUGCUUAAGACAAAACUUCACAUGUCACCAAAAUAAUUUCCUCUAAUUUCUCAGAAUUCUUCAAUAAUUCUGCUUCUUAGGCGGCCUAAUAUUAUUGUUACAACUGACAAAUUAUCAGAUUUUGAUAAUGCAAAGAAUAUUAAUAUCUUUCACUUGAAAGAAGAGGCAAAACAAAUAAUUGAACAAAUUAAUAAAUGUAGGCCUACUAAGAAGAAUAUGUCAACGGGGGAUAAGCAAUACCCGAAGCUGGAAACUUGAAAAAGUAAAAAGGCCCAGAAGCAGGUCUAGCCGUUGCGCAAUUUGUCAUCUUUAUACAGAAUAUGAUUCCAUGAACAAGAAAAAGGGCAUACUAAGGUUGCACUGCUGUCUCUCAAAGAAUUUGGUGAACAAGCAGCAGCGUGACUGUCAAGUCACAGGUGGCCAGAAGUGGCAUCUAAGAAACAGAAAAGGAUGAACGGCUUGAGAUUCAAGUGACUUGGGUCUUUUUAACUAUAGGUUAAGACUUAAGAUAGAUACGGUUUAUGUCAAAAAGAUCAUAGAUAGAUAGAUAGAUAAUCUUAUGUGAAAAAAAUUUGGGUCUUUUUAUGUAGGGUAAGAUAGAUACUCUUUAGUGGUCAACAAUCAAAAUUGAGAACUUACAAGUAGAAAAUCUCAAGUUCAAAUAUUCCAACUUAGAAUUGUAAAUAUUUCUGCUUUUUUUUUUCUUUCUUUCUGAAAAAGACUAGGAAUUGUAGUUUGGUACUAUUUGUGGGAAAAAAGUAACGUAGAUUAUUGUUAUGUAAUCGUAGCUCUUUAAUUUCCAAGAAAACGAAAAUCACAGUACUGAGUUCUUGAUUUCCACAACAUGGCUGUUCAGUUAUGCAUGACAGAAAGUAUCCAGUUCAUGUCUCUUAAGCUCUGAUCGUUAAAACAAAAUUGACGUGACACACGGGUACCUCUUUUAAAUUGGAUACAACACAGUCAAAGCCCACAAUGGUAGAAAAAGAAAAAACAUGAAAACUAAUUCCAGUAAUAAGUAACCCGGGACUGCCCGCCCUUUCAAAGUAGUUAAUUGAUAACCACAUCACACAGGAAGUAUCAAAUAAUUGUCAUGCUUAAUCUCCGAACUACAACUUAUAGUCCAAUGAUCUCUAAAAUGACGGUAAUGCUAACGGUUAAUUACUUUUCUGCUAUACAAGCUUACAACUAAGGCUGCAAACGAAUCGCUCGCGAGCGGCUCGAGUCAAACUCGAGCUCGAGUUCGAACUCAGAAUAUUAAGCUCGUUAAUUCGCGAGCCGACUCACAAGUUUGGAUAUAUAUAUAUAUAUAUAUAUAUUUUUUUUUAAAUUUAAUAAUAAAAUUAUGUAUAUUAUAUAUAUAUUUUUUAUUUUUUAUUUUCAUAGUACAAAUACGUAUAUAUCCUUAAUAUUUUAUUAUUUAUUAAGAAAAAAAAUAUUAUUUUAUUUAUUUUUUUAAAAUAAAAUAAUUAUUUUUAUUUUUUUCGAGCUCGAGCUCGGCUCAACUUGAUUCGAGUCGAGCUCGAGCUCGAAAUUUGCCGGCUCAUCGAGUUAAAGCUCGAACUCGAUAAAAUUUAAUCGAAACUCGACUCGAUUAGCUUAAAGCUCGACUCGGCUCAACUCGUUUCCAGCCCUACUUACAACAACCAUUUCAUUCAGAAAAACACACACAUGGCCUCCAAGCGUAUCUCCUCCUCGACCUUAGUGCUCGUACAUCCACCUUAUACAAUACAACACAAUUGUUUUAGUGCUCGAGACCUGAAGAGAAUACAAUGAUGUGGCUUGUGUCUGAACUCUGGAGAGAAUGGCCUUGGCAUCUUCACUUUCUUUGGAGGCAAGUAAAAGGAAGCCAACUGUCAGCAUGCGCAUUCAUCGAUGAUAUUCAAACAAGACGGCAAACAAGGAAAAUUGAACUCAAGCGCAUAAGCUUCAGAUUCGCCCUUUAUCUUUAUUUACAGAAAGGUAGCACGUAUCCACGGGAGAUCGAGAUUUAGAGAUAUCAAGUGACCACAUCUUAUACUGAAUUACUUAGACCACGAUGACGGCUUAAAUCCUCCAACCAACAAGUUUGAUGCCGCAGAUGCAUUUAUUUUUCUCCUCUUGGAUUCAAGUUCCACGCGUCUUUUGGAUGCAGAUGACCCAGAAUAUCCAGAAAAUAUUGAAGCAGCAUUGAUUA